CCUACGGGAGGCAGCAGUGGGGAAUAUUGCACAAUGGGGGAAACCCUGAUGCAGCGACGCCGCGUGAGUGAAGAAGUAUUUCUUUAUGUAAAGCUCUAUCAGCAGGGAAGAAAAUGACGGUACCUGAGUAAGAAGCCCCGGCUAACUAAGUGCCAGCAUCCGCGGUAAUACGUAGGGGGCAAGCGUUAUCCGGAUUUACUGGGUGUAAAGGGAGCGUAGACGGCAGUGCAAGUCUGGAGUGAAAGGCGGGGGCUCAACCCCCGGACUGCUCUGGAAACUGUACGGCUGGAGUGCAGGAGAGGUAAGUGGAAUUCCUAGUGUAGCGGUGAAAUGCGUAGAUAUUAGGAGGAACACCAGUGGCGAAGGCGGCUUACUGGACGGUAACUGACGUUGAGGCUCGAAAGCGUGGGGAGCAAACAGGAUUAGAUACCCUGGUAGUC
rnacentral:rRNA from 1 species